rnacentral:lncRNA from 1 species
UCCUCUUUAUCUUAACUCCUUUCCUCAAGCAACCCUUAGGGAAUACUUGGUGCAAUGUAUCACCUUAAGGUUACCAAGGGUGAACUUACAUAUAGCCUUCAUCAAUCUAACCACAUAUAUUCAUAGAGUCAUAAGCACACCAUAAGACAUAGUCUUCACAUAGGAACCAUCACCUAAGACAACCCCCAAGUCACACUAGUGCAAUGUGCAAGUAGCAUCCCAUAAUACUACUCACACCAAGUGUUCCUAGGAAGCCACCAUA